GACCCGUAAUCCGGGUUGCGGACAGUGUCUGGUGGGUAGUUUGACUGGGGCGGUCUCCUCCUAAAGAGUAACGGAGGAGCACGAAGGUUGGCUAAUCCUGGUCGGACAUCAGGAGGUUAGUGCAAUGGCAUAAGCCAGCUUGACUGCGAGCGUGACGGCGCGAGCAGGUGCGAAAGCAGGUCAUAGUGAUCCGGUGGUUCUGAAUGGAAGGGCCAUCGCUCAACGGAUAAAAGGUACUCCGGGGAUAACAGGCUGAUACCGCCCAAGAGUUCAUAUCGACGGCGGUGUUUGGCACCUCGAUGUCGGCUCAUCACAUCCUGGGGCUGAAGUAGGUCCCAAGGGUAUGGCUGUUCGCCAUUUAAAGUGGUACGCGAGCUGGGUUUAGAACGUCGUGAGACAGUUCGGUCCCUAUCUGCCGUGGGCGCUGGAGAAUUGAGGGGGGCUGCUCCUAGUACGAGAGGACCGGAGUGGACGCAUCACUGGUGUUCGGGUUGUCAUGCCAAUGGCACUGCCCGGUAGCUAAAUGCGGAAGAGAUAAGUGCUGAAAGCAUCUAAGCACGAAACUUGCCCCGAGAUGAGUUCUCCCUGACUCCUUGAGAGUCCUGAAGGAACGUUGAAGACGACGACGUUGAUAGGCCGGGUGUGUAAGCGCAGCGAUGCGUUGAGCUAACCGGUACUAAUGAACCGUGAGGCUUAACCUUACAACGCCGAAGGUGUUU
rnacentral:rRNA from 1 species